rnacentral:rRNA from 1 species
AUUAGCUAGUUGGUGAGGUAAUGGCUCACCAAGGCGACGAUCCCUAGCUGGUCUGAGAGGAUGAUCAGCCACACUGGAACUGAGACACGGUCCAGACUCCUACGGGAGGCAGCAGUGGGGAAUAUUGCACAAUGGGCGCAAGCCUGAUGCAGCCAUGCCGCGUGUAUGAAGAAUGCCUUCGGGUUGUAAAGUACUUUCAGCAGUGAGGAAGGCGGAGUCGUUAAUAGCGGGCCUGUUUGACGUUAGCUGCAGAAGAAGCACCGGCUAGCUCCGUGCCAGCAGCCGCGGUAAUACGGAGGGUGCGAGCGUUAAUCGGAAUUACUGGGCGUAAAGCGCAUGCAGGUGGUUUGUUAAGUCAGAUGUGAAAGCCCGGGGCUCAACCUCGGAAUUGCAUUUGAAACUGGCAGACUACAGUACUGUAGAGGGGGGUAGAAUUUCAGGUGUAGCGGUGAAAUGCGUAAAGAUCUGAAGGAAUACCGGUGGCGAAGGCGGCCCCCUGGACAGAUACUGACACUCAGAUGCGAAAGCGUGGGGAGCAAAGAGGAUUAGAUACCC